GCAAUGUUGAGAAGACGCCUGGAAUAUUUUUUCAAAUUGAAGAUGUCUCAGGAUAGCGAGCUGUCGUAUGCCCACCGUGAUGGCCGAUUGUUGGAGCUGAUUGACGAGGCUUGGCAGAGAGAUGAACUUCCAAAUGACGAAAUUUCAGUGCCAGAAUUUGAACUCCCACCCGUUGACGAUAGUGACCGUAAGUAUAAACUAUUUUGAAAAUCGGUACACGUUUUUUAAUCUAAGACUUUGUUUGUGAGACACUACUAAUGGACACUAAAUAAGAGUAACAUUUUAUCUAAGAAAGAAGUUUAUAAAUCAAAUUUCCAUUAAUUAGUCAAGCAGUUUAAAGUAUUUUUGAGGUUGAAUAGUGAUAACAUUAAUAUGAAUCUAGCCAUGACAACCACCCGUUAGAGUAAAAUAUUAAUAACUGUAGUGUUGCCUUUUACCUGGUAUAUAACCAGUGGAAUUAGGAUGUAGAUCCCAUCAGUAUCAUUCUAGCAUUAGAGCAAUAGCUAUCUAUUAUUGACGCUUUUUCAAGUUACUAGCAUUGGCUUUCCCACCCACCCACUUCCAUUGCAGUUCUAAUUUUUUUGUUGUGUUUAUAAUUUCGUGGUAAUUUAUGUAUUUAUAAUAAUUAUUAUUAAUUAUAAUUAUCAUUAUUAUCUUGUGCAGGCCCUCGAUGGUCCUCUGGUUUUAUCAUAGUUUAUUUCCAAGAUUGUAAUUAGCAUGAAUCAUUUUCUGUGUGUUGCAUGUAUGUGUAGCAUUAAAAUAAACUGCCUGAUCCCAAACACAUAGUUUGAGAGUGAGUUUCUGUGU